ensembl:snRNA U6 U6 spliceosomal RNA
GUACUCGCUUUGGCAGCACAUAUAUUAAAAUUGGAAAGAUACUGAGCAGAUCAGCAUGGCCCCUGCACAAGGGUGACAUGCAAAUUCAUGAAGCAUUCCAUAUUUUU